GGAGCCGAGGCCACAGCAGACCGGCACCGGACUUUUAAUCCGGCAUGGUGAGGUUGCAACUACCUCCGGCUCCACCA
rnacentral:tRNA from 1 species